rnacentral:rRNA from 1 species
UGCCUAACACAUGCAAGUCGAGCGCCUGUAGCAAUACAGGAGCGGCGCACGGGUGAGUAACGCGUGGGAACCUGCCCUUAGGUUCGGAACAACCGCGGGAAACUGCGGCUGAUACCGGAUAAUGUCUUCGGACCAAAGAUUUAUCGCCUUUGGAGGGGCCCGCGUCGGAUUAGGUAGUUGGUGAGGUAACGGCUCACCAAGCCUGCGAUCCGUAGCUGGUCUGAGAGGAUGACCAGCCACACUGGGACUGAGACACGGCCCAGACUCCUACGGGAGGCAGCAGUGGGGAGUAUUGGACAGUGGGGGCAACCCUGAUCCAGCAAUGCCGCGUGGGUAAUGUGAGCCUUCGGGUUGUAAAGCCC